UCCUGCUUGGGUCGUCUUAGAACCACAAUCCUCAGAUCUAAGCCUCCUGAGUAACUAGAAUUAUAGGCAUGAGCCAUCAGCGCCUGGUCUAACAUCCUCUUAAAAAGUAGUCUCCUAGUGACCUCACUUCCUUCCAUUAGCCCCACCUCCUACACGUCCCACCAUUCCCAAUAGUGCCACAAGUUGGGGGGACCAAGCCUUCAACUUCUAAGCCUUUGAAAGAAUUUUAAAAUCCAAGUUAUAGCACACAUAUUCCAUUCCAAGAAAUAAACCUUUUCUUUCAAACUACUACUACUGUUUAAACUUUUACCUUAUAGCCACCUCAAAUCCUUUUUAUUUUUCCCUGGCCCUCUUAGACUACCCUAGUGUUCCCUCACAUCUACUACCUCACUUGCCACCAAUGCAUAUAGAAUAACUUAAUGGAAAAAAAACAUCACAUACCCUCACUCUGCCAAGUUUCCCUAAUAGUCUUUUCUUAUAGACACCAUAAAGGCACAUCAACUUUGCUACU